rnacentral:rRNA from 1 species
AUUGAACGCUGGCGGCAGGCCUAACACAUGCAAGUCGAGCGGAUGAAGGGAGCUUGCUCCUGGAUUCAGCGGCGGACGGGUGAGUAAUGCCUAGGAAUCUGCCUUGUCGUUGGGGAUAACGUCCGUACACGGGCGCUAAUACCGCAUACGUCCUGAUGGAGAAAGUGGGGGAUCUUCGGACCUCACGCUAUCAGAUGAGCCUAGGUCGGAUUAGCUAGUUGGUGGGGUAAAGGCCUACCAAGGCGACGAUCCGUAACUGGUCUGAGAGGAUGAUCAGUCACACUGGAACUGAGACAAGGUCCAGAAUCCUAAGGGAGGCAGCAGUGGGGAAUAUUGGACAAUGGGCGAAAGCCUGAUCCAGCCAUGCCGCGUGUGUGAAGAAGGUCUUCGGAUUGUAAAGCACUUUAAGUUGGGAGGAAGGGCAGUAAGUUAAUACCUUGCUGUUUUGACGGUACCAACAGAAUAAGCACCGGCUAACUUCGUG